rnacentral:tmRNA from 1 species
GGGCGCGUCCCGGCUUCGACGGGGAUUCGCGAAAGCAAGGCUGCGUGUCGAGGUGGCCGGUGGCCUCGUAAAAACCGGCAAAGCCAUAACUGGCAACAGCAACGCUUACUCCCUCGCUGCUUAAGUCAGCGACGUUCCCGGCAAGCCCCGCCGUUGGCUCGGCCGGCGAACGACCUAAAAACGGCUAGCCCAAGGCAAGGCACCGUAGCCGCGGGCGAAGCUUAACGGAGCUCGGCCCCAGGCCCCUGUCGGCGGGGAAACCCGGGGCGACACCCAAACACCGACUACACACGUAGACGCCUGCCGUAGGGGUCUUCGGACGAGGGUUCGACUCCCUCCGCGUCCACCA